CUACGGGGUGCAGCAGUGGGGAAUUUUGCGCAAUGGGGGAAACCCUGACGCAGCAACGCCGCGUGAAGGAUGAAGGCCUUUGGGUCGUAAACUUCUGUCAGUGGGGAAGAAAUACUCGCAAGAGAGAUGACGGUACCCACAAAGGAAGCACCGGCUAACUCCGUGCCAGCAGCCGCGGUAAUACGGAGGGUGCAAGCGUUGUUCGGAAUUAUUGGGCGUAAAGCGCAUGUAGGCGGACUGUUAAGUCUGGUGUGAAAGCCCGGGGCUCAACCCCGGAAGUGCAUUGGAUACUGGCAGUCUUGAGUAUGGGAGAGGAAAGUGGAAUUCCGAGUGUAGGAGUGAAAUCCGUAGAUAUUCGGAGGAACACCAGUGGCGAAGGCGGCUUUCUGGACCAAUACUGACGCUGAGAUGCGAAAGCGUGGGUAGCAAACAGGAUUAGACCCCGGUAGUC
rnacentral:rRNA from 1 species